GAGUUUGAUCCUGGCUCAGAUUGAACGCUGGGCGGCAUGCCUUACACAUGCAAGUCGAACGGCAGCACGGGAGCAAUCCUGGUGGCGAGUGGCGAACGGGUGAGUAAUACAUCGGAACGUGCCCUGUAGUGGGGGAUAACUAGUCGAAAGACUAGCUAAUACCGCAUACGACCUGAGGGUGAAAGUGGGGGACCGCAAGGCCUCAUGCUAUAGGAGCGGCCGAUGUCUGAUUAGCUAGUUGGUGGGGUAAAGGCCUACCAAGGCGACGAUCAGUAGCUGGUCUGAGAGGACGAUCAGCCACACUGGGACUGAGACACGGCCCAGACUCCUACGGGAGGCAGCAGUGGGGAAUUUUGGACAAUGGGGGCAACCCUGAUCCAGCAAUGCCGCGUGUGUGAAGAAGGCCUUCGGGUUGUAAAGCACUUCUGUCCGGGAAGAAAUCGCACCUGAUAAUACCGGGUGUGGAUGACGGUACCGGAAGAAUAAGGACCGGCUAACUACGUGCCAGCAGCCGCGGUAAUACGUAGGGUCCAAGCGUUAAUCGGAAUUACUGGGCGUAA
rnacentral:rRNA from 1 species